GGAGAUAUAGCUCAAUUGGUAGAGUGCUUGCCUCACAUGCAUAGCCCUGGGUUCAAUCCCCAGCACCA
rnacentral:tRNA from 1 species